AUGUGGUGGCAGAUACUCCCAAGGGUUGCCCCAGGCGUGGUCCCCGUUCCCUGGUGCUGGAUGCGGGAGGGCGGAGCACAGCCUGCAGAGGACACCGCGACGGACCGAGCAGGCAUGAGACAAAGGACCUCAGUUUGACAUCCAGCAACAAGAUGUGAACCCUACUUCCACAACUGGUAGAUAAGGUCCAUCCAUGCUGGCAGAUGGGACGACUCAGGCUUUCCCUGCCCGUGCCAGCCCAGGAAACAGCACCUGCACAGAGGUCCUCGAGGUGUGACAGACACAGUUAAGUUCUCAAACCCUGCUAAUCUGCAGAAAAUGGGCCUGAACUUUUUUCCACAGUAUUCAGGAAGAAGUUGCCUUGAAAGUUCUUCAAAUUAUGCUUCUUAUAUGAAUAGGGCACAUUCAAUCUGGUGAAGUCAGCCUGCAGAUGAGUAUAUUCACACAAAAACAUUGAGAUUUUUAUGCAUUAUUAGAUUUUUCUAGAUUUUUGUUGUUGAUAAACCUUACCUUACGUUAUUAUGUUAUAGUAUGUUCCCUCAUUACGUUAUUAUGUUAUAACGUUAUUAUGUUGUUGAUAAUGCUUAGUAGUUUUGGCUGGUGUGAUAAGUUUUCAGCUUCAAAUUGAAGCAGAAAGCAUUAAGAAAACCCUAAACUGUAGUGAAAAGAAAUGGACCCUUUCUACAGGAAUAUCCUUUACCAUGUCUCAUUAGCCAUGUGUGAAUAGUGCCUGUGACUUUGUACAUUAGGACUGGCAACUCUUGAAAUUGAGGCACCUGGUUCAGUCUAAAGAAAUCACAUCCUGACAGUAACUUCUUUAUUUUGUUCACAGUCAUUUUAUCACAUGUGAUUUCGCUGUCAUAACCUUUAAGGGUGAUCCUGAAAGUUCAGAUGAGCAAUACUUGAUUUUUGACUGCACACCAAGAAACACAUCACUGGACAGUAGUUAUGAGCUGCUUUUUUGAUGAAAAACAUCUCUGGAUCUCUCCUAAAACUCACAUUCAAGAUGGGAACCAAAGCUCUACCACUCCUUUCCCUCUAAUGCAAAGGAAAAGUAGCCACUUGUUUGUUCCCAUGAGCUGUACACCACCUUCUGCCUGUGAGGCUGAAUAUAGUCUUGACCAUGAGCUUCCCUCAUAAGGAGGGUACCACAGUUGAGACACCGUCUGUUAAAAUGGUUGCCUAUGAGGUUCAGUUGUCCCCACAGAGUUAUGUGACAGAAAUACAGAAAUCACUCUAGUUAAAAUGAUGAAAAGGCAGGGAAAAUCAACCUGCCCCUAAUCAUUACAGCAAGGGGCAUCUGGGCCUCAGAAAUAUUCACUCUGUCUACAAGCUCAACACUACCAUUACUACUACACCACCAACUACUACUACUAUGCAAAACCCCAACCAAAAGCUUAAUUUGAAUUAAAAUAUUUUUGUUUUCUUCUAGACUUUUAAAUGAGUGUCUGCACAUGACAAGGAUGCAUGAAGAAAACAAAAGACUACUUCCCUCUCCUCCCCAGUUUCCUUCCCAAAGUUCUACUUUUGAAAGCACAUCUAAAAUAAGCCCUUUCUUCCUUACAGAAAUGCCAAUUAUAUGCAAAUAAAAGUUCUCCUUAUGCUUACAGUGAA